rnacentral:lncRNA from 1 species
AGAAACAGCUGUGGGCCUGCCGGCCUCUCCCUCCCAAGCAGCUGCCUUCCCGGCCCUUGGCCAUUUGCACUUGGCGUGGGGGACUCCUGAGGAACGAGAGAUGAAAGCGCAGGGUGGCCUUUCUCCGACUUUAAUGUGCACACGAGUCUCCUGGGAUCUUGCUAAUGUGUACGUUCUGAUUCUGCAGGUCGGGGGGUGAGGUCAAGAUUCGGCACUGCUAAUCAGCUUCCAGGUGAGGCCAAGGUCGCGCCAUGUUGUUGAAUGCAGUCCCUUCAUGUUACAGAGAGCAGAGGGGACCACAGCCCGAGCCCCCUGCUGCCUCCCAGAGCGAGGCUCUCCUCAUCGUGGACUCACCGCCCUCUGUGUGCCUCGUCCAUCACAUACAUCCUAAGUGUCCCUCCCAGCCUGUGAGCUUCUAGAAGGCAUUGCAACCCGGCACAGGAGCUGACACUUACAAAUAUUCAGGAACAAGCCAGUAGGUGACUCUCAGAAACACUGCCCAGAUCCCCGAAAUAAAUCUCGGCUCGGGGAGCCCCAGACCCAAACCCUAGAGCAAAGAGCAGGGAGACAUUCGGGGCCGCUCCAGAGUCUCAGUGUCUGUGGUUUCCCAGUUCUGACCUUGAAUCCCCCCAGGAAGGGAUUGCAGAAGGCUGGGAAGAAGGUUGCAGUGGAAGGGGAUUCGGUUCCCAAAUAGGCAGCGGGAGGAGGGACGGAAUCAGGGCGGGCAGAGUCCUCCUUGGUUCUGGCCCCAGUGUCCUGUGUGAUUCUGAGUAGGACCACCUAUCCCCUCCCACUCUGGAGCCAUUCGAGUUGUCCUGUUAUGUCCCUCUGAAUGGUCAACAGGACAUUCCUGGGCAACAGAGACCUUG